AUUGAACGCUGGCGGCAUGCUUUACACAUGCAAGUCGAACGGCAGCGCGGGGCAACCUGGCGGCGAGUGGCGAACGGGUGAGUAAUAUAUCGGAACGUACCCAAGAGUGGGGGAUAACGUAGCGAAAGUUACGCUAAUACCGCAUACGAUCUAUGGAUGAAAGGUGGGGGAGUCGCAAGACCUCAUGCUCCUGGAGCGGCCGAUAUCUGAUUAGCUAGNGGUAGGGUAAGGCCUACCAAGGCGACGAUCAGUAGCUGGUCUGAGAGGACGACCAGCCACACUGGGACUGAGACACGGCCCA
rnacentral:rRNA from 1 species